rnacentral:rRNA from 1 species
AUGGCCGGCGCUGGAUCGAGCUCGUCAGCACCAACGGAAGGAGGCUUUCACUUGAUGAGUUGCCUAAAAGAUGUUCCGACACUCAGAGGUGACAAUCACACUGAGUGGAGGAAGAAAGUUGACCUGGCAUUUGUUCUUGCUGACCUGGACUGGGUUGUGGAUGCACCACAGCCGGUCAGACCUACAGAGCCAGUAAAAGAGGCCACUGAUGAUGAUGUUGCGUGGGCUAAAAAGAGGGGAGAUUAUGCUCCUUUGGAGAUGUCAUACAUCAAAGAAAACCAAAAGUGGGUCAAUGCAAACAAAAAGUGCAUGGCAUUUAUAAAGAAUACAACUGAGAGCACCAUUGUGGGCUCCAUUGCAGAGUGCACUUCCGCAUGGGAGUUGCUUACAAAGAUAAAGAGCCGGUUUACUGGCUCUUCAAAGAUAUAUGCCACCCAAGUGUUAGAGCAACUGGUGACAGAACGCUACACAGGUGGUAGUCAGGGAAUAAGAUAG